rnacentral:rRNA from 1 species
CCAGUUGGAUGCAUGUCCUUCUGGGAAAGAUUCUAUCGGUAUGGGAUGGGGUCGCGUCCUAUCAGCUUGAUGGCGGGGUAACGGCCCACCAUGGCUUCGACGGGUAGCCGGCCUGAGAGGGCGACCGGCCACAUUGGGACUGAGAUACAGCCCAGACUCUACGGGAGGCAGCAGUGGGGAAUAUUGCACAAUGGGCGCAAGCCUGAUGCAGCGACGCGCGUGCGGGAUGACGGCCUUCAGGUUGUAAACCGCUUUUGACUGGGAGCAAGCUCUCGGGGUGAGUGUACCUUUCGAAUAAGCACCGGCUAACUACGUGCCAGCAGCCGCGGUAAUACGUAGGGUGCAAGCGUUAUCCGGAAUUAUCGGGCGUAAAGGGCUCGUAGGCGGUUCGUCGCGUCCGGUGUGAAAGUCCAUCGCUUAACGGUGGAUCCGCGCCGGGUACGGGCGGGCUUGAGUGCGGUAGGGGAGACUGGAAUUCCCGGUGUAACGGUGGAAUCGAA